CAAUCUUUAUAAGGAAUCCUU
rnacentral:siRNA from 1 species